UACGUAGGAUGCAAGCGUUAUCCGGAAUUAUUGGGCGUAAAGCGUCCGCAGGUGGCACUUCAAGUCUGUCGUCAAAGACUGGGGCUUAACCCUGGAAAGGCGGUGGAAACUGAAGCGCUAGAGUGCGGUAGGGGUAGAGGGAAUUCCCGGUGUAGCGGUGAAAUGCGUAGAGAUCGGGAAGAACAUCGGUGGCGAAGGCGGCAUCCUGGACCAAUACUGACGCUGAGUGAGCGAAAGCCAGGGGAGCAAACGGG
rnacentral:rRNA from 1 species